GACGAACGCUGGCGGCGUGCCUAAUACAUGCAAGUCGAACGCUUCUUUCCUCCCGAGUGCUUGCACUCAAUUGGAAAGAGGAGAGGCGGACGGGUGAGUAACACGUGGGUAACCUACCCAUCAGAGGGGGAUAACACUUGGAAACAGGUGCUAAUACCGCAUAACAGUUUAUGCCGCAUGGCAUAAGAGUGAAAGGCGCUUUCGGGUGUCGCUGAUGGAUGGACCCGCGGUGCAUUAGCUAGUUGGUGAGGUAACGGCUCACCAAGGCCACGAUGCAUAGCCGACCUGAGAGGGUGAUCGGCCACACUGGGACUGAGACACGGCCCAGACUCCUACGGGAGGCAGCAGUAGGGAAUCUUCGGCAAUGGACGAAAGUCUGACCGAGCAACGCCGCGUGAGUGAAGAAGGUUUUCGGAUCGUAAAACUCUGUUGUUAGAGAAGAACAAGGACGUUAGUAACUGAACGUCCCCUGACGGUAUCUAACCAGAAAGCCACGGCUAACUACGUG
rnacentral:rRNA from 1 species